UAUCCAUUGGAGGGCAAGUCUGGUGCCAGCAGCUGCGGUAAUACCAGCUCCAAUAGCGUAUAUUAAAGUUGUUGCAGUUAAAAAGCUCGUAGUUGGACUUGUGUGCGCUGUCCGCGGGUGGCCUGCGCCCAAAAGGGCGUUUCGGUUCGGCCCCGGUGGCGCCUUGAAAUCUGCAGCUGGGGGGACGUUGGCCUUAACUGGUCGGCGACCGCACGCCGGCUGCUCGGUUACUGUGAGAAAAUUAGAGUGUUCAAGGCAGGCAUUGGGUGCAAUUGAAUACAUUAGCAUGGAAUAAUAAAAUAUGGCUCCUGCCGUAUUUUGUUGGUUUUGACUGGUGGGAGUAAUGAUUGAUAGAGACGGUUGGGGGUGCUAGUAUUGAGCGGCCAGAGGUGAAAUUCAUGGACUCGCUCAAGACUAACUUAUGCGAAAGCAUUCACCAAGGACGUCCUCUUUAAUCAAGAACGAAAGUUGGGGGAUCGAAGACGAUCAGAUACCGUCGUAGUCUCAACCAUAAACUAUGUCGACUUGGGAUCGGCGGUAGUUUUUUCAUUAAGACACUGUCGGGACCACGGGAGAAAUCAAAGUGUCUGGACUCUGGGGGAAGUAUGGUCGCAAGGCUGAAACUUGAAGGAAUUGACGGAAGGGCACCACCAGGAGUGGAGCCUGCGGCUUAAUUUGACCCAACACGGGGAAACUUACCAGGUCCAGAGAUGUAGAGGAUUGACAGAUUGAAGCUCUUUCUUGAUCACUUCGGUGGUGGUGCAUGGCCGUUCUUAGUUGGUGGAGUGAUUUGUCUGGUUAAUUCCGUUAACGAUCGAGACCUCAGCCUGCUAGUGUAGUCGGCUGGAUUGCCUUUGGCGAUCCGUGAUUUCGACUUCUUAGAGGGACAAUCGACGCGCAGUCGAUGGAAGUUUGAGGCAAUAACAGGUCUGUGAUGCCCUUAGAUGUUCUGGGCCGCACGCGCGCUACACUGCUGGGCUCAGCGAGUUUUACUUGGCCGAGAGGCCCGGUUAAUCUUGUGAAAUCCCAGCGUGCUUGGGCUCGCCUCCUGCAACUGGAGGCGCCAACGAGGAAUUCCUAGUAGACGCAGGUCAUCAACCUGCAUCGAUUACGUCCCUGCCCUUUGUACACACCGCCCGUCGUUCCAUAAGAGUGAGGCAUCCGGUGAAUUCUCGGGAGAGCCUGGGCGUGGCCAGCAAUGGUCUGCUCGGGUUUGAACUUGCAUAAACUUGGUGCCUAUGAUUAGGG
rnacentral:rRNA from 1 species